UACGUAGGGUGCGAGCGUUGUCCGGAAUUAUUGGGCGUAAAGGGCUCGUAGGCGGUCUGUCGCGUCGGGAGUGAAAACUCAGGGCUUAACCCUGAGCCUGCUUCCGAUACGGGCAGACUAGAGGUAUGCAGGGGAGAACGGAAUUCCUGGUGUAGCGGUGGAAUGCGCAGAUAUCAGGAGGAACACCGGCGGCGAAGGCGGCUUCCUGGACCGAUACUGACGCUGAGACGCGAAAGCGUGGGGAGCAAACAGG
rnacentral:rRNA from 1 species